GGGAGGGAGGGAGGCAAAGCGGCCUGGCAGGCAGGGAGGGGGCUGCCGGGACUUGGCAGGGGUCCCCAAACGGCGCUUGGCCACGGCUUGCCCUGCUCCAGCAGUGACGCGUUUCCCUCUGCACAGGGGCUGCCUCUGAGGUCUGACCUGCAUCUCCCUGGCUGCUCCUGGCUCUGGGUGCACCCCAGGGCCCGAGCCUGGUGUCCCCGUGGAAGGUUUCUGGACGCCAGGGCCCAGCUACGGAUGCAAAGCCUGGGCUGGGUCGACCCCUCUCCCUGCCCGCUGAAGCUGGCGCCCCCUAGACAGGCAGCGCUGCUCUCUGGCUCCGAGGGACAGCCGGACUGGGCUUCCUAAAUUUGGGGCCCUGGGGGGGGGCGGGGGGGGGCGGGACUAAGGUCUGGGGACUUGCCUGGUGGGAAGCAAAGCAGUGGCAAGGGGUCUGGGGUGUUUUCUGGGUUUUUUUUCAGGCUCUUAUGUGGUAGAAAUGAUACUUGAACAUAGGUUCGUUUAUCCACACCCGUAGUAUCUGAAACUGAGUCUGUUCUGGGAAAGCUGAUAGACAGUCCAGCUCAGCAUCACCUCUGGACGCCCCCACUUCCCAUUUGGGGACCACAAAAGUCCCUUCCUCUCCUUGUGAGGAGUCCUUACUGCCAGGAGAGGGUCUGGCAUCCUCUUUCCCAACUAGAGCUUCAGACGACCGCCUCAAAGGCAGCGGGAGGAAGAGAGGCUGUGGCUGCAGCUGGAGGGGUGGAAGGUAGACCUCAGGAAGUUCCUGAGGCUCAGAAGCUCUUUCUCGCACAGGUGUAUUCGUAAUGAGACAGGCCACCGCUGGGACAGGGGCGAUGGUUCUAGCAGCAUGAGUCCUCAUGACCCCAGCUCCUGGAGGACCAUGCGGAAGACAACACUGUUGCAGCCCCGCGGGCAGGCUCCACGUUCUCGGCAAGAGCCGCUGGGACAGCAACGUUCGCUGCAAAAUCCGGAGAAAGGCCUUUCGGAGUUGCUGAGAGUGCAGUGGAAAAAACCUCCCCUUCCCUCCGCUCCCUUGGUCGGGGAAACUUGCCUGAGGAUUCAGGGAGGGAGAUGAUGCGAGGAGGAGGAGGACGGCAGCGGGAACGUGAGGGAAGGGGGCUCCGAAGAGGGAUGAAUCUUGGUUCGGAGGGGAGGACGGGGGCUCGGAAGCGAGGCUAGGGGCUUAGGGACAGGGAGGGGAGGCCCAGAGGACGCCAGGACUGCCAGGUCAAACUUGAUCGAACACUUUAUUAAAGCCCCUCCUUCGUAAAAUAGUAGAUAUAUCAGAUAGAUGCUGGAUAAUUGCAAAACGAAAGCACAUGUCCAAGUUCAAAAGCAAGAACGACCAAUCUCUAAGGGCCCAAACUGCGAGGGCAUUCCAGUGGGGAGCAAGAGGCGCAGCCGUACCUCUGAGAAGGGGUUCAGCAUUCCAGUGGGUUGGAAGGUGUACUUGCAGACCCCACUGGUGGCCGGGGCUCUGGGGGGCUCCCUGCUGAAAGCGGGGCCUGGGAAAGUGCUGCCUGCCGUAAACGGGGCUCGGAUGUCUCUGCCUGCUGGCCACCGGUCCUGGCUCUGGGCAGAAGGAGCACCCAUGUGAUUAGGUCACCUCGAUCCUGUCCACAUGGGGUAUGCACUCAGGAUCUGACGGUCAAGCAAUGUAAAACCUCAAGCCAAGACACAUGUGAGAGCUCCUUCGGCGUUCGUACUCUUGCACCGGCUGGGCGGAUACAGCUGAGAAACCAUCCCUUCAGGUGGUUUCCAUAUCCCAGUUAGCCGGAAAAAUGUGCCGAAAAUAAUUAUCUCAAGGACAAAACUUGCCAACAUAUAAGAAAUACAACAUCCUUUUUUUCUUUUUUUUUGCCACACCCAGGGCAUGUGGAAGUUCCCUGGGCCAGGGGUUGAACCCAUGCCACAGCAGUGACAAUGCCAGAUCCUCAACCUGCUGAGCCACUGGGGAAAUCCGAGAAACACAGUAUCUUAAGCGAGAUCUCUCUCCUGGGAGAAUUCAUAUUCAAGGACCUAGAGAUGAUGGAGCAAAUUGGAAAGGAGGUUUAAUGUAGUUAAAAUCUUCAAGAGAUAAAGGAAGUAACAGCCUCAAUAAAACAAGAACAGAAGGAUGCCCAACAGAAACAUGGAGCCGAUAGAACAGCACUAUCUAGAAGUUUUAGAAAUGAAAAUUCACAUCGCUGACAUUUAAACAAAUCAAUCAAUAGAUGGGUUAGUAGAGCAAACGCAGCUGAAGAGAGAAUAAGUGAGUUAGAGGCUAGGACUGAGGAAAAUCCUCCAGAAUGAAGCACAGGACAAUAAAUAGAUUAAACACGUGAAAGGAGAGACAAAGAAGACAGAGAAACUCCAGCACAGGUAUUAUUACUUCCAGAAGAUGAUGCUGGAAAGAGUGACUAAGCUGUUUCCAGAAAUAAGUCGUGAAUCUCUAGAUUUAAAAGACCCACAGACUUCCUAGUAAGCUAUCUUUAAAAACAAAACUACAUCCAGACACCUUGCAGCUAAAGCGUAGACUGUUGAGAAUAAAGAGGAAAUUCUCAAAGCCGCCGGAGAGAAAAGAUAGCUUAUCUACAAAGGUCCCUUCAUUGAAUGGACAGUAGCCAUCUCAUCAGCAACAACAGAUGCCAAGACAAUGGAGUCGUAUCUUCAGAGUGCUGAGGGCCAGUAAUUGUGAACAUAGAAUGCCACACGGUGCCAAACUAGCAUCUAAACAAAGGACACAAUAAAGACAUUUUGACACAUUC